UUCCACAGCUUUCUUGAACUUUUUAUCGAUACAUACUCUUAGUUUUAUAAGAUGUAUAAAAUGUAAAAGUUCAAGAUAGCUGUGGGAAA
rnacentral:pre_miRNA from 1 species